CAGUAUGGCCAUACCACCCUAAAUGUACUCCAUCUCGUCUGAUCUCGGAAGCUAAGCAGGGUCUGGCCUGGUUACUACUUGGAUGGGAGUUGUUUGUUUGUUUUUUUAA
rfam:Mesocricetus auratus contig079288, whole genome shotgun sequence.